rnacentral:rRNA from 1 species
ACCCGCACAAGCAGCGGAGCGUGUGGUUUAAUUCGAUGCUACACGAAGGACCUUACCAGGGUUUGACAUGCAAGUGGUAGGAAUCUGAAAAGGGACCGACCCUUCGGGGAGCUUUGCACAGGUGCUGCAUGGCUGUCGUCAGCUCGUGUCGUGAGAUGUUCGGUUAAGUCCGCUAACGAGCGCAACCCUCACUGUGUGUUAUAUGUGUCACACGGGACUGCCGGUUUUAAGCCGGAGGAAGGUGGGAUGACGUCAAGUCAGCAUGGCCUUUAUAUCCUGGGCUACACACACGCUACAAUGGUCGGUACAAUAGGUUGCCAAGCCGCGAGGCGGAGCCAAUCCACAAAGCCGGCCUCAGUUCAGAUUGUAGGCUGCAACUCGCCUGCAUGAAGAUGGAGUUGCUAGUAACCGCAGGUCAGCAAUACUGCGGUGAAUACGUUCCCGGGUCUU